GAUGAACGCUGGCGGCGUGCCUAAUACAUGCAAGUCGAGCGAACAGACGAGGAGCUUGCUCCUCUGACGUUAGCGGCGGACGGGUGAGUAACACGUGGAUAACCUACCUAUAAGACUGGGAUAACUUCGGGAAACCGGAGCUAAUACCGGAUAAUAUAUUGAACCGCAUGGUUCAAUAGUGAAAGACGGUUUUGCUGUCACUUAUAGAUGGAUCCGCGCCGCAUUAGCUAGUUGGUAAGGUAACGGCUUACCAAGGCAACGAUGCGUAGCCGACCUGAGAGGGUGAUCGGCCACACUGGAACUGAGACACGGUCCAGACUCCUACGGGAGGCAGCAGUAGGGAAUCUUCCGCAAUGGGCGAAAGCAUGACGGAGCAACGCCGCGUGAGUGAUGAAGGUCUUCGGAUCGUAAAACUCUGUUAUUAGGGAAGAACAAAUGUGUAAGUAACUAUGCACGUCUUGACGGUACCUAAUCAGAAAGCCACGGCUAACUACGUG
rnacentral:rRNA from 1 species